ACUAAGAUAUAUAUAUGUAUUGUUGACCCAGGGUCUGCAUACUUUUAUGUUAGUGCCAGCAUUGCUUGCCUUCCUGCUGUCUCUUGUAUAAAAAUAAAUUUUGAUAUGUUAGUGACUAGUCUUUUUGGAAUUAGUUUUGGAAGAGUUUGCUAGCGAAAGAUAUCUCCUAUAAUACGAUAAAUUAUUGAAUAUCGAUAGAUAAAAGAGUUAUGGAAGUAAAAAUUUGAACAGCUGGUUCAGAUGUAACAAAGAAAUGUUACGAAUAUUAGCAAGAUUAUUGACUAGAAUGGUCAGAGGACCA
rnacentral:misc_RNA from 1 species